rnacentral:misc_RNA from 1 species
GAUGAAGAACGUAGCGAAAUGCGAUACGUAAUGUGAAUUGCAGAAUUCAGUGAAUCAUCGAAUCUUUGAACGCACCUUGCGCCCUUUGGCCAUUCCGAAGGGCAUGCCUGUUUGAGUAUCAUGAACACCUCAACUCUUCAUGGUUUUCCAUGAUGAGCUUGGACUUUGGGGGUCUUGCUGGCCUGUGGGUCGGCUCCUCUCAAAUGAAUCAGCUUGCCGGUUUUUGGUGGGCAUCACAGGUGUGAUAACUAUCUACGCUUGUGGUUUUCCACCAGGGUAACCUUCAGCAGUGGAGGUUCACUGGAGCUUACAAAUGUCUCUCCUCUGUGAGGACAGCCCUUUGAAUGUUUGAUCUCAAAUCAGGUAGGACUACCCGCUGAACUUAAGCAUAUCAUAAGCGGAGGA